UCUCACACACACUCACUCUGUCACUCCGCCGCCGCCGCUCUCCAAACCCUAUUUCCCAUUCCGAUCUCCCUAUUCAUCUCAUCUCCGUUCUUCCAGAUCGAGCGACGAUCCAAGAGAAACCGUCGGUCCUCUCUUUCGCCCUGCAAAUUGCUCCCCAUCCCUUGUCCUCCUCUCCGGACACUCCCACGGGCGACGCUGUAGGAAUUGGCCUUCCCUGGCGUACUCCUCACGGCAGAUCUGCGCCAGCUCUGGGAUUCUGAAUCAACGUCUUCUGCCAACUUCUGGGUCAUCUCCGUCGUCCACCCCGGAGUCAGGUAGCAAACUUUAUUGUAGAGUGACUGAGUGAGAUGUUCCAGCUUGGCCAGAGAAAUGAAGAUAAGCUGAGUAUUAUUUGGCUUAUCCAUGGAACUUCAGGAAGAAGAAAAAAACAUUCUGUUCAUUCUGUCUUUGGCAUGGGAGGAAUUGGAAAAAUAAGGACAAAUGAGCAAGGCAAGCCUCGGAUGAACAGUAUGCGGGGCGUCUCCAUGGAGCUUGGAGGUGCCUCGGGUGUAGAAUGUGAGCUGGUCGCGAAGCAGUGCUGGAGGCGCCUCGGAGGGAGUUGGAGGCGCCUUGGACCAAGGCUGAGAGGCGCCUUGGAGUGACUUGAAGGCGCCUUCAAGCUGAUAAGGUGCGACGAGUUCAGCAGUGAUUCACGCGGGCGACUCGGGAGGCCUGGAGGUGCCUCGGACAGGCUUGGAGGCGCCUCCAGCAGUGUAUAAAAGAGGACCUCGAGGUAGCAGUUAGCACACAACAAGAAAAGCAAUCAUUACGCUGCCAGCGAGAAGUUCUAACGAAGCUGUAACUUGACGCCGACGACCCCAGAGCUCAGAAUCUACUAUUAAUCUUGUCGUUGGUAUAUUUCAUUAUUAUUUGUACUUGAAAUUUGUAACUAUCUUUACGAGAUUAUAGUUGUUACCCAACGUAAACGUUCAACGAGCGUGGGCCUUGGAGUAGGAGUCGACACAGGCUCCGAACCAAGUAACUACUUAUGUUUGCGCGUGCUCUUUUCUUUACUUAAUUCCGUUGUGUAUUUUUGACUUUGUUUUAAAUCGAACGAAAUAGCCAUGAGCGCUAUUUAUCUCUC